GGGCCCGCACAAGCGGUGGAGCAUGUGGUUUAAUUCGAUGCAACGCGAAGAACCUUACCAGGGUUUGACAUCCUGCGAACCUCUUGGAAACGAGAGGGUGCCUUCGGGAGCGCAGUGACAGGUGGUGCAUGGCUGUCGUCAGCUCGUGUCGUGAGAUGUUGGGUUAAGUCCCGCAACGAGCGCAACCCACGUCUUUAGUUGCCAGCAUUUAGUUGGGCACUCUAGAGAGACCGCCGGUGAUAAACCGGAGGAAGGUGUGGAUGACGUCAAGUCAUCAUGCCCCUUACAUCCUGGGCUACACACGUACUACAAUGCUACGGACAAAGAGCAGCAAGUUCGCGAGGACAAGCAAAUCCCAUAAACCGUGGCUCAGUUCAGAUCGUAGGCUGCAACUCGCCUACGUGAAGGCGGAAUCGCUAGUAAUCGCAGGU
rnacentral:rRNA from 1 species